AAAAAAAAAAACCAUAGAUUCCCGUGGUAACGUUUAACCGUCUGUCUUAUAUGAAAUUUUUUAUAAUUAGUAUUUUUAUUGUUGUUUAAUAAUAAAACAUGAUUAAUACUUUAUGCGUGACUUAUCUUUUUAAUUUUUUUCAUAACUUUUUCAAAUAAAACGAACGGUCAAAUAUUGAACACGAAAAUCAGGGUCUGUCUUUUAU
rfam:Oryza sativa Japonica Group DNA, chromosome 1, cultivar: Nipponbare, complete sequence.